CUGGCACAAGGCAAAUGACGGAAUCAUCAGGGGCAGGCAUGACACGUGAGGGAAAUUGAGCGGUGGCGGCGGCGAGAAAUGAGGCCAUAUUGCGGCGCAUGAAUAGGAUGGUUAGGAUCUUGGUGGACGGGAGAAGAGCCCGCACUGACAUCCUUGCAGGUAACCACACGGGAGCGACUACAAUAGAAGAAGGGCCACCAGUGCAAAAAUAGAAAAAAUCUGUCUGGGUCAUUAGAUCCCGGCUGAAUGGUCCAGAUUCUAGUGGAUGGAUCUGAGCGCACAGGUGCUAGGUCCUUUGCAGAAAACACCCUUGAUUAUAGUCAUUUUGCUUUCAGUAUCAUCUUCUCCACCGUAGGAACGCAACAGAGCAGGCCCAAAUUCCCCAACCCGCGGCCACCGACUCUUGGACAAGCCCUGCCGACGGUGGCGGCGAGCCAGAUCCGGUGCCUAGCCGGGCGAUUGCGGCCAGUGGAGGUCUAGAUCCAGCACUCCGCCGUCUCGUCACGGGCAAUUGCGGCCAGUGGAGGUCUAGAUCCAGCACUCCGCCGUCUCGUCACGGGCGGUCUGGCUGCCCCGACGGAUCUCCCAUGUUUUAAGCUGCGGCAGGUUCUCCAAGGUACUCUGCUCCGAUUCCCGGAGGACAACCUCGCUCCAUCCUUUUUCUACACAAGCAGACCAUUCUCCACAUUGUUAGAAUAAAUUCGAGGCAUACCGUUGAUCAUCCGAGACCAAGCAAUCACACGAGCACGACAUCGAGAUUUGUUAACGAGGUUCACCGAUAUGGCUACAUCCCCGCGGCCUGACUAUGGGUGCUCCUCCCCAUGACACCGCUACAAUACAGCACCCGGUUGCCCUGGAUACCGACACAUGCCGCCGGCUUCCCCUGCGUUCUGGUGCUAUUAUGUUGUCAUAGGUUACAUCGUGUGUCUACCCCCGCUAUAUAUGAGAGGCCUAUGAUAUAAGUGUCCUAUUAGGACACGACCUCAUAUUCUAUCUAAACACAAUACUACUCAGAGUCCAACUGUAACCUACCUUGUACAUAAUAUUCGACACAAUCCUAACAAACUCCACCUUGACGAAUAUUCUCCACCACCUUGAAUUCGUCAAUGCGUCAAACUUCCAUGUACAUUGGACUUGAGUUUAUCCCAUGAGUACCGCUGCUACUCCAAAGACUCCAUAUGACUCCACCUGCAACUUGUAGUCCCUUCUUUUCUUGCCAUGGUCAACACUUGAGCAAAAUUAAGUUCUUUGUUACUCUAGUUUGUGCUCCCAACUUCCAAAGUAUCAGUCCAACGCCAUCACACACUGAUCAUUGACCUGCGUGAAAGUGAACAACUCACAUAUUGGGUGUCACACAUAAGAGUUACCUGAACUCAACAUCACCGCUCCUUUCUUGACCGUCUGUCUGAAACUUGAAGGAAUUUCACCGUUGCUUAUAGUCAUCCCGAGUCAAAUCCGCAGUUGUCUCACCACAUGUGUGACCACUAGAGCCCUGGCCCGUCUCCAUGUCCCGUGCAUACCACACACCUCGCCGCUAUUACCGCGUCGAGCCUCCGCUGUCCCGGUCGAGUCUCAAGGGUCGUGAACCCACACCACUCAACCCCACUGCAGAGUACCACCGAUCAUCAUCGACCGAUGACGAGUUUCAUGCUUCCAUCAGACCAUUGGGCUCCAGUCUGAAUUACAUGUCACUCGCUUUUUUCCAGCUGAAUAGGCUUCGACUCCCUGGAUCCUUACACCGUAGCCCUUCAAUCCAGCUCCACCUUCAACAUGACUCCAUGGUAGAUGAUCAAUCCACCCUCGCGCCCCGUCAACUUCAAGCUCCGUGUAUACAUCACCUUGAAUCAAACCCGCGCCAUAGUCUUGUCGAAGCCGCAGAAGCCUCGGGCAUAUGCACCACGUGUUUCCACGCCCAGAAGUCGGUCACCAUCAGCAUCACGCUCCUACGUCGUCUUCGCCGAUCCCACCACCGUCUUCUGUACCAACCGACCUGCGUCGAUCCGUCAGACCAUCUAGUCCAACCCAGCCAAACUUGUUCGACUGCAGACACAUUCCAGACUCCUCAAGUCGUCACCGUGACCAUCUCCAUCCAAACACAAAUGUGUACCAACAAAGAAAAACAAAGUGAAGUCCACAUAGCCUUCCCGUGUGAACACCAAAUCAGAUCAACAAAGCUAACUAGCUCAAACACCUGAUUCAUCACACGUGUGUAGCUGGCCUCUCCUUUUCUUUUCUUUUUCCAUGACAGCAUCACGAUCUGACUAAGCCCUUGUGCCGUAAUUUUUUUUGCCAAACAAAUCUCUAGUGCAUGCAACGCUCCAGUCCUGGCACAAUGCCAACUCUCCUGGAAUUCAGCUCCGCGCACGUGGCUUUCUUUGGGCCUUGCACAACCAGUUGCUGCUCCUGGGCCACUGCACACGUGUACCUCGUGGCUACACAAGGGCCUUGCCCACCAAGCACGCACACAACCAGCCCCACCUGGGCCAGCCAGCUACACCCUAGGCAUGCCCACGAGCCACCUCGGCUUUGCGCGUGCGUCCAACCCUUUGCCUGCAGCCCUGCACAUGCACCUUUCCGCUUGGAUCAAGCCGCCACGAACCCAGCAAACGCGGAUGCCGAUCUCGCCGAGUUCCCGAACAAAACGCUGGUUCCGAUUGCUCUUUCUAUCAAACACGAUGCUGUCUUCCACGAAUCUUAUAUCAGCAAACUCGAUCCACCGACACGAAAACUACCGCCGCCAUGCCUCCAAUCGUACACAUUGCAUCUUGCAAGAUCUCGCUGACAACUUCCACGUGUUCUCCUCUAGAUCAACGAUCAACAACCCGAGCAACCUAGCUUUGAUAACACUUGUUAGAAUAAAUUCGAGGCAUACCGUUGAUCAUCCGAGGACCAAGUAAUCACACGAGUACGACACCGAGAUUUGUUAACGAGGUUCACCGAUAUGGCUACAUCCCCGGGGCCUGACUAUGGGCGCUCCUCCCCAUGACACCGCUACAAUACCGCACCCGGUCGCCCUGGACACCGGCACAUGUCGCCGGCUUCCCCUGCGUUCCGGUGCUAUUAUGUUAGCAUAUGUUACAUCGUGUGUCUACCCCCGCUAUAUAUGAGAGGCCUAUGAUACAAGUGUCCUAUUAGGACACGACUCCAUAUCCUAUCUAAACACAAUACUACUCAGAGUCCAACUGUAACCUACCUUGUACAUAAUAUUCGACACAAUCUUAACACACAUGUCACCUGCACCUCUGCCCGUCUAGCUCCGCCAUCUAGGAACGCCUGAGAAGAAAACUACAGCUAGCCUUCUGGUAUGCUUGUCUGCCAGGUUGCUAUGAGUUUUCAUAGUUAAUUCUGCAGCUUUUCAUUUAGAAAAUAUUUUGUUCAACUAUCCAUAUCAUCUACACCAUAUUUUGGUCCUUCAUCCCUGAAAGUACUUUUGCUUUAAAAAAGUGUGCUUGGAGCAUAGUAGUAUGUUGUAUCGUUGUUGGAUGUUGUAUAAUUCUGCAUCUUUGGAAAUGAUACGAGUGACAACAUUUUGAAAAUUCUAAGCAUACACACAUUUAGUUUAGAUAACAUAUUUUUAUCGUUAGUAGCAGUAGCUUGGAAGCUUGGAAAUAUUUUUUGGGCAAAGGCUAUAUUCAGAAGUAUGCUUGAGUAGUACAGUAGCAAACCCACUAGUAUGUACACACUUCUCUAUACCAAAUUCAGUUAAUUUUGAGAGACUUUUAUCAAGUGUUGAUUAGCCAUAACAAAAAAACACAAUGUAUGCUUACUUCAAAAUUUGGACUGGCCAACUAGUUUGUGCUCAUCUGGGUUAUGCUUGCUUUCAACUUGAGAGCAAUAACAGGGAUAUCCCUCUGUAUGCUUGCCUGUGAGGUUGCAACCAAUUUUUUUAGUUGAUUAUGUAAUAUUUAUUUAGGGCGGCGAGGUGCAAUGCACGGCGAGGUCAGUGGCAGGCAAGUGCGGCCCGUGAGGGGUGGCGCCCCGCGCUGGAUGCGUGAGCAAGCGGUAAGCCGGUGAAGCGCCAUUGACGGUGUGGUGUGUGGAGGAGCUGACUCGGUUGGAUCGCAGCCGCGCGUAUGCACUGGAUCGAACGGCUGCGCAGGGACCGGCCCAAUUUGGGCUGGUCGACCGGCGCCUAUCACCCCCCAAUUAUUUUUGUUCAAUGUUUGUACUGCAAACUAUAGUGCAGAAUCUUAGUUUAGUAUGUAUUGAUACUUUCCUGUACCAGAUUCAGUUAAUUUAGACUUUAUUCGGUGUUGAUUAGCCAUAACAAGAAAACAUAAUGUUUGCUUACUUCAAAAUUUUGACUGGACAACUAGUUUAUGCUCAUCUUGGGAUAUGUUUGCUUUCAACGUGAGAGCAAUAACAGGGAUAUCUCUCUUAUCCAUGCAUACAAAAAUUAAUCACUGGACAAGUUUGCUAUAGUUUGCUUGUACUAGAUUUUCGAGCAGUUUUGUAUUGUGAAAUUUCAUCCUCUUGUCGGAUAUUGUACAUGAGAACAAACUAAUCUCAGCUACCUAUUGAAGUACCUGCAUGUGAAGUGGUUGGAGGCACAAGACUUCGUCACACUUGCAAUAUGUGCCACUUCACUGAUUUCGCUUUAGUGAAACAAUUGUAUUAGCUCUUUGGUCUUUCUCAUUCGGCUUUUAUGACACUACAAUUGUAAAAAGACAACUUUUUUACCUUUUGUAUGUAGAAAAGAAGACACUCUUUCUGUGUGUAUGUAGAAAAUAAGACAUUUUUUCUGUGUAUUUUUAAUUUCCAAAAGGGGCACUUGCUCUAGAAUAAACGGACACAGGAAUAGUGUGAGAAGUGAGUCCAGCGAGAAGAAAAGAAGACCUGGAAUUCAUCAAAAGACGCACACAAGUGCAUCAUUUGUAAGGGAGUGGUGUUCCAUGAUGCAAGGACAUGCUCUAAGAAACAAAUGACACAACAGUAAAGGUUUGUGCUUCUUGCUUUGAAGACUACCUGUUCUUUUUGUCUUGUUAUUACUGCACAAUACUAUAUGUUUUUAGACGAGUCAUAUUUGUUUGGUGUGAACCAAUCAAGCUUAAAUAAGAGUGAACUAAUCGAGCCAUGACCUAGUGGAGUAUCCAAUUUUUUUAUUAAACUCUUUCCAAUAAAAAGUAUUAUAACAGAAGAUGUUAUGUCGACGUACAUAUAUUGUUCCUGCUUCACAAUGUGAACAAUUGAAAUUGUUGCAUGUCCAUUAUUAGGGUAUCUUUUUGGUUUACUGGUCUGAACUUGUAGUGCUGCUGUCAGCAAAUAUGUGCGCAUUCAGUCCAUGUUAGGGCACAAGAUAUAAUUAGCAGGAAAUGUCUGUUGGGGGGAGCAAACGGCUGAUUGUUUUGACCUACGUGGGCUUUAUUUGGGAUAGACUUUCGGUUGCUAACAAGCCAAUGAUCCAUACAACAGUACAACCGGUCAUAAGCUAUUUGAGUUAAGAAAGUCUUAGUGGGAUGAUGAGCUGCAAAAAUUGAUACAAGUGAUUCUUCAUUGUCAAGCUGUGAAUAUAUUUGCCGUACAAUAUUCUUUUCCUUGUCUCUUCACUGGUCUGACAUGUGCCUUUGUGCUGCAGCAUCAAAUUUUUUACUUCUGUCAUCUACGAGUUAGCAAAAGUACUUGAAUUGCAUUCUUAAUUGUUCAAUACAUACGCGAUUAGGAUUAGAGAACAUAAUUUUCCUAUUUCUUUCCUUGUAAUGUAAACUAUUUUUUCCUUGUAUUUCUAGAUGCUCUCUCACAACCGGAAACAUCAGGACUACAGAUGGAUAGAAGAAGCUUUUAUCAAAAUCUUCCCUUUCUGACAAUUGAGAGAAUUUCUCUGCAAGAUAAAUUUAACUCUGUUCUUGAUCAUGCAUCUGUAUGUGUCUGUGCUCAACUGAAUUGGGUUUGCUUGGUGUGAUCUUUCCCAGAACAAGAAGCUUCAUGAGUAAGUAGUAGAACUGGAGGGAAAGGGUAGAGUUUUUCUGUUAUGUACCAUCAAGAUAUUAGUCUUUAAUACUGUCUUGCUGGCUAUGUACUAAAAAUGGUGCUACCAUGCCUCAUCAAGAUAUGUAUGCUUGUGAUAUGCUCAAUCUGGGAUGGUCCAGUCUGAUGUUUUGUUAUGCUUCAAAAGGUGACUGAAUCUGUGCCAUAAGCCGUCGUUGGACAAAAUGAAUGGAGAGGGAGAUAAAAUACAUGAGGGGGUUGCUGCAAAAGUUCCAUUUAUAACUAAUUGCUAGUAGGGGGUUUUUCGUAUAAAUGUACAUUAAGUGGCUGAGGAAUCUGUGCCAUCCACCUACGAUCCAAUGGCUCAUGGCUGUUUUCUAUUUUUUGCACCGGUGGCCCUUCUUCUAUUGUAGUCUUCCCCUAACCACACCCUACUUCGUCCAUCGUGUCCCUCCUUUGCUCAGAUGCAAGUGCGGUUCAUGCUGAACUCAACAUUUUUGCCUUCUGGCUUUGUUCUAGCUUCUCGUGGUCGUGGGCGGCGAGGUGGUGGCAACCGGAUGCUGCGAGAUGGGUGGAACUAGCUAAGGAAAUGGAUCCUGUCUGUCGACGAAUAUCUUUCGACAUGAAGAAUAAAUCUUAGACGUGCCUUUGCUUUGCUAGAGUUUUAUUUAAAAUAAAUGGUCACCAAACCAAUGCCAUGUUUUUAGUACAAUUUAUCAUUAUUGUAAGAAGGAUUUUAGUUUUAUCUGUUUCAUGUUUCUGGGUGAAAUGCAAUUUUAUAUACCUCUUGAAUUUUCUUUUCCUCGAAUAUGUCAUUUGUUUAUUGUGCAAGAGCAUAUGUCUGUUGGUGAUAGUUUAGAUGAUAAAAAUGCAGAGGAAAAAUUGAAAUAUUUCAUUGUAUAGUUGGCUUCCCUUGGUAAACCUAGUGUCGAUGUUUG
rnacentral:lncRNA from 1 species